rnacentral:sRNA from 1 species
UCCAGACCAUCCAAGAAGACGGUGCAGCCACCUCCGAGAGCCUGGAUGUGAUGGCGUCACAGAAGAGACCCUCCCAGAGGCACGGAUCCAAGUACCUGGCCACAGCAAGUACCAUGGACCAUGCCAGGCAUGGCUUCCUCCCAAGGCACAGAGACACGGGCAUCCUUGACUCCAUCGGGCGCUUCUUUGGCGGUGACAGGGGUGCGCCCAAGCGGGGCUCUGGCAAGGACUCACACCACCCGGCAAGAACUGCUCACUACGGCUCCCUGCCCCAGAAGUCACACGGCCGGACCCAAGAUGAAAACCCCGUAGUCCACUUCUUCAAGAACAUUGUGACGCCUCGCACACCACCCCCGUCGCAGGGAAAGGUAAGACCUUGGAAUGUUUCGAUUAAUCAUCACUUUUCUGAUAGACCUUCUCUAAAAUCCCAUAAUGUACCAAAGAGAGAGUUAGGCUCCGAGCUACCAGAAUCCAUCCCAAAACGUGUUGCCAGGCAGCUCCCGAGUAGAACAGGUCGGCAGAUCCAUGCACCCCUCCUGCCCCUCCCGCAACUGCACAGCCGCUGUGGCCCUAAGCCUGCGGCCCCCCUCGGAGCUCUGGGUGGAACCUGUUUUUACCACCUCAGCUCUACUGUGCUUUGAUUGUGUUUCCUGUUGAUUGAAAGGACUUUCCCUUCACUGACCACCAUGUCAUUAUUUCUCUGUCUUCCUCAUGCAGGGGAGAGGACUGUCCCUGAGCAGAUUUAGCUGGGUAGGUGACGAAUGCACUU